rnacentral:lncRNA from 1 species
AAAACCAUAAAGAAAUGAAGGGCCUAAAUCAUAACCCAUCAACUUGAAAUCAAACAAAACCCCCCUUUUUAAACACUAAAAAGAACAUUUUCUUUCUUUCUUUGACAUUGCGCCGUAAUGCUCUCCUUCUGCCCUCCUCUGCUCCUAUGGCCAUGAAACAAAGGAGUUUCAACGACGUCACACCGGUAAGUUCCCUUUACUCCCUUCCUCGUUUUGUUUAUUUGUUGUUUUUUAGAAGCAAAAGAAAAGAACUAAAAUAAAUUUAAAAAAAAACAGUAAAGGAACAGAGAAAAAUAAAACCAAAUCCCACCUUCAAAAAUAUUUUUCUGUAUAUUUUCUUUUUGAUUUCAGUACAAAAAAUUUUCUAACCCCCCUUACAAUAAAUCCAUUGGCUUUUUAUAGCCAAAACUCCUUUACAAUUUGUUGUCUCUAUCCUAUUAGUGUUGCCCGUGGUUUAUUCGUUGCAGGUACGUGGAAAAAGCAAGGUGUGCUGAUCGUGGGUGGUUGCUGCGAUGUGAGCAGUUGCUGCGGCAUUCGCGGAGGCUUUUUGCUGCUGCAGUACUGAGGCAAAAGGGCUAGGCUCCUUGAUUCUGUUAUGGGUUUAUUGGGCUAAUGUAAUUGGGUUACAAUUUGGGCUUGUAACAUUUGUAAUUGGGCCACGUAAAUUAAGAUUUUAAAUGGACUGGGACUUUUGUUUAUUUAAGCCCGGGUUAAAAUUGGGUAUUACAAUAGAAAUAGGCAUGCUGAUUAAAACAAAUCACAAAAAGAGAAAUCUAUGCAUUAGGUUUUUUUUUUUCUUGGUGAUAGGAAAAUUGGAAAUGUGAAAAAAGAAGUGUCUUUUUUAAAAAGAUUGGGACUAAAAUGAUAAAAUGUUAUUCUACUUAAAUUAUAUUGAAAAUAAUUUUUUUAGAAAUAAUUCCACAUCAUAUUUCCAUUAGAGUUUUUAAUAAGAGUGGCC